CUUGCCUGAAGAUACACGUGAAAUAUUUCGUUGCCAGAUUGAAUUAAGUCAUUGGAAACAACAAGUACCGCAAAAUAGUGAAAAUAUGUCGAUGCGAAUUUUUCUUUUAUGUUUUGUUUUUGGAAUGGCAUACAGCUUUCGCCUCGUGACUGUAGAGAAAGCAUCGGGACCUUGCGUGAGAACACGCAAAAAAUGUUGAAACUGGUGAUGGAGGGCAACCUAGAUGUCCACGUUCCUGUGUGCACACCAAAUGGUUACUUUAAACCAGGAUUUCGCUGCACCUGGUUUGCAUGUUACUGCUACGAUAAAUAUGGAAAAAUUAACUUUAAUGUUGAUAUAAUCAGCUGUCGUCGCUCAUAUAAUGUCUAAGACAUUGACUGCUUUGUAAUGUACAUAUGUACGUGCUAUAUAAAGAUUAAGACGUAGCCAUCUUAUAUAACAAAAGACGAUCGACGCCAUAUUAAUGUAUAUAACGGAAACACGGGUGAAAAUAAAACAUGUCGAUGAUGAACUUCAAACAAUAAACAGCUAUACGUA